AUUUCACAAUAUUUGCAGACAACUUUUAAUCAUGUGGUCGUGGGUUCGAGUCCCACCCGGAUCACCA
rnacentral:tRNA from 1 species